AAGCAGGUUAAUAUUCCUGCACCAUUGUUAGAUGCGAUGGGGGGACGGAUCGCGAAAGGUUGUCCGGGUGUUGGAAGUCCCGGUCCUUGCAUUGGAGAAGGCGCUUAGGCAAAUCCGGGCGCGGAAUUCAAGGGUGUGAGGCGAGCUCUUUAUUGAGCGAAGCAAUUGGAAGUGGUUCCAAGAAAAGCCUCUAAGCUUCAGUCUAACAAGACCGUACCGCAAACCGACACAGGUGGGCGAGAUGAGUAUUCUAAGGCGCUUGAGAGAACUCGGGAGAAGGAACUCGGCAAAUUGGUACCGUAACUUCGGGAUAAGGUACGCCCUUGUAGCUUGACUGGCUUGCGCCGGAAGGGUGAAAGGGUUGCAAUAAACUGGUGGCUGCGACUGUUUAAUAAAAACACAGCACUCUGCAAACACGAAAGUGGACGUAUAGGGUGUGACGCCUGCCCGGUGCCGG
rnacentral:rRNA from 1 species